CAAUAGCGUAUAUUAAAGUUGUUGCAGUUAAAAAGCUCGUAGUUGAAUUUUUGCUUGCCGCCGAUGUCGGAACUUCCGUACGUUCGGCGGCGUGCAUCCUUGGGUGGAACCUGUGUGGCAUUAGGUUGGCGUGCAGGGGAUGCUCAUCGUUUACUGUGAAAAAAUUAGAGUGUUCAAAGCAGGCUUACGCCGUUGAAUAUAUUAGCAUGGAAUAAUAAGAUAGGACCUUGGUACUAUUUUGUUGGUUUGCGCACCGAGGUAAUGAUUAACAGGGACAGUUGGGGGUAUUCGUAUUCCAUUGUCAGAGGUGAAAUUCUUGGAUUUCUGGAAGACGAACUACUGCGAAAGCAUUUACCAAGGAUGUUUUCAUUAA
rnacentral:rRNA from 1 species